rnacentral:rRNA from 1 species
UACGUAGGGGGCAAGCGUUGUUCGGAAUUACUGGGCGUAAAGGGCGCGUAGGCGGCCUGCUAAGUCGGACGUGAAAUCCCUCGGCUCAACCGAGGAACUGCGUCCGAUACUGCCGGGCUCGAGUCCGGAAGAGGCGAGUAGAAUUCCUGGUGUAGCGGUGGAAUGCGCAGAUAUCAGGAGGAAUACCCAUAGCGAAGGCAGCUCGCUGGGACGGUACUGACGCUGAGGCGCGAAAGCGUGGGGAGCGAACAGGAUUAG